GACGUAGGGCGCGAGCGUUGUCCGGAUUUAUUGGGCGUAAAGAGCUCGUGAGGCGGCUCGUUGCGUCGGCUGUGAAAACCCGCAGCUCAACUGUGGGCUUGCAGCUGAUACGGGCGGGCUAGAAUUCGGUAGGGGAGACUGGAAUUCCUGGUGUAGCGGUGAAAUGCGCAGAUAUCAGGAGGAACACCGGUGGCGAAGGCGGGUCUCUGGGCCGAUAUUGACGCUGAGGAGCGAAAGCGUGGGGAGCGAACAGG
rnacentral:rRNA from 1 species